rnacentral:rRNA from 1 species
AUUGAACGCUGGCGGCAUGCUUUACACAUGCAAGUCGAACGGUAACAGGCCUUCGGGUGCUGACGAGUGGCGAACGGGUGAGUAAUGCAUCGGAACGUGCCCAGAGGUGGGGGAUAACGCAGCGAAAGCUGUGCUAAUACCGCAUGUGAUCUGAGGAUGAAAGCGGGGGACCAAGCAGCAAUGUUUGGCCUCGCGCCUCUGGAGCGGCCGAUGUCAGAUUAGGUAGUUGGUGGGGUAAAGGCCUACCAAGCCGACGAUCUGUAGCUGGUCUGAGAGGACGACCAGCCACCCUGGGACUGAGACACGGCCCAGACUCCUACGGGAGGCAGCAGUGGGGAAUUUUGGACAAUGGGCGCAAGCCUGAUCCAGCAAUGCCGCGUGCGGGAAGAAGGCCUUCGGGUUGUAAACCGCUUUUGUACGGAACGAAAAGGCUCUGGCUAAUACCUGGGGCUGAUGACGGUACCGUAAGAAUAAGCACCGGCUAACUACGUG